rnacentral:rRNA from 1 species
CUGCGCGGAAGAUGUAACGGGGCUAAACCAUGCACCGAAGCUGCGGCAGCGACACUAUGUGUUGUUGGGUAGGGAGCGUUCUGUAAGCCUGCGAAGGUGUGCUGUGAGGCAUGCUGGAGGUAUCAGAAGUGCGAAUGCUGACAUAAGUAACGAUAAAGCGGGUGAAAAGCCCGCUCGCCGGAAGACCAAGGGUUCCUGUCCAACGUUAAUCGGGCAGGUGAGUCGACCCUAAGGCGAGGCCGAAAGGCGUAGUCGAUGGGAAACAGGUUAAUAUUCCUGUACUUGGUGUUACUGCGAAGGGGG